UUCCUGGAAGCAGAGUCAAAGGGGAAGUUAGCAAGAAUUCUCAAAUCGCAAUCAUGUGAUGACUUGCUCAAUGACCAAGGGUGAUCCAUUUAAGGACCACAGCUGAAUGUCAUAGAUCAGGCGUGAUAACAUGGCAUUUCACUUUGCAUCUGUGUUGCUGAGUAAGAGAAUUGCUAGUCCUAAUUGUGGUUGGUACAAGAGGACUACCUGUAUGAUUAAAAAGAAUUGAAUUUCAUAAAUGCCUUAAUGGAUGGACUUCGGAGGAUCUGAUCAUUAACUGCACUGCUAUCUGUCAUUUGCAAAGUAUCAUUUUGAGCUCUCUUCAAUAUUAAAAAGAAAAAAAAAUAACCUUUAUUCUGCAGAGUCUGUAUCCAGAUAAUACCAUAUUUCAAUAUAAUUGUGGACUGACUUGAAGGAACUUCACAGAAGACAGAUGGCAUUGAACUUCCAAAUGUAAAC